AGUGAAAUCGAGGCUUAACAAACACACAGUUCUCAGAGCUUUGACAAAGUGAAACCAAAUAUAUAUUUUGUUGUAUUUGUUCACUGACCUUAUAAGGCAAUUGGUUUGUUAUGACACUCCAUCAUUACUAGUUGCGUCAACUGGUCAACAUGCCUAAAUUUGGACGCUCAGGGCCUAAACAAGCUCAAAAAUUAGGUCGGAGAUAUGGUUUUUUCCGUUGUCCAGACUGCAAUGGUCACUGGGAAAGCUCUCAUGUUUAUGUCGACAAAUUAACAAGAGAGGUCGCUUACAAACAAAAAUGUAAGAAGUGCAACAUCGAGUGCAGCCCAUAUCGCGUAGAAACACUGACGUGUUCCCUGUGUGGUUUGCAGGGAAGCGACUGCACAUGUACCAAGGAAGACAAGAUGGAGCGACAUGGGGACAAGACGAAAGCGCACCGCAGUGAUCUCUGCAUGAAAUGCCGUUCCGGGAGAAAAUGUUUCUCCUCUCGCCCUUACUGAUGCUUUGAGUAGGCCUACAUACAUAUGUACAUACAUGGGGCUGUUAAAUGAUACAUAGAUACAUGGAACUGUUAAACGACUCACAGACGGCUUAUUCAUAAAGUAAUUUUGUCACGGAAAACCUAUUGUUCAGCAAAUGAAAAUUUUAACUCCUUAAUAUAGAUGUGAAAUGCAAACAUUAAAAGACAAGCUAUCCAUUUGCCUCAGCGUUAUUGUAUUGUUGGAUCUGCGCGUGCGUCUCCUCCGUAAAAUUGGCCGAACUCUGUGGCAGACGACCAGUUCACAGCAACAGCGUAGCAAUCACUUGUUUCUUUACCAAUAAUUUCACUCGUUUCAAUGUCAUCUUAAAAUUUGCGUUAGCAUGUUUGUUAAAAUCUACAAAUAAAGGAUGAUUUCUGUGGCC